rnacentral:rRNA from 1 species
UACGUAGGGUGCGAGCGUUGUUCGGAAUUACUGGGCGUAAAGGGCUCGUAGGUGGCCAACUAAGUCAGACGUGAAAUCCCUCGGCUUAACCGGGGAACUGCGUCUGAUACUGGAUGGCUUGAGUUCGGGAGAGGGAUGCGGAAUUCCAGGUGUAGCGGUGAAAUGCGUAGAUAUCUGGAGGAACACCGGUGGCGAAGGCGGCAUCCUGGACCGACACUGACGCUGAGGAGCGAAAGCCAGGGGAGCAAACGGG